CCUUGAAAAGAGGGUUAAACAGUACGUGAAAUUGUUGAAAGGGAAGCGCUUGUGACCAGACUUGGGCGCGGCGGAUCAUCCGGGGUUCUCUCCGGUGCACUUCGCCGCGUUCAGGCCAGCAUCAGUUCGUCGCGGGGGAAAAAGGCUUCGGGAACGUGGCUCCUCCGGGAGUGUUAUAGCCCGUUGCAUAAUACCCUGCGGUGGACUGAGGACCGCGCAUCUGCAAGGAUGCUGGCGUAAUGGUCACCAGCGACCCGUCUUGAAACACGGACCAAGA
rnacentral:rRNA from 2 species